UACGAAGGGGGCUAGCGUUGCUCGGAAUCACUGGGCGUAAAGGGUGCGUAGGCGGGUCUUUUAAGUCAGGGGUGAAAUCCUGGAGCUCAACUCCAGAACUGCCUUUGAUACUGAGGAUCUUGAGUACGGGAGAGGUGAGUGGAACUGCGAGUGUAGAGGUGAAAUCGUAGAUAUUCGCAAGAACACCAGUGGCGAAGGCGCUCACUGGCCCGGUUCUGACGCUGAGGCGCGAAAGCGUGGGGAGCAAACAGG
rnacentral:rRNA from 1 species